rnacentral:rRNA from 1 species
AUGGAUCUUAGAGCUGCGAAGGUUGCUAACAAAAUCUUUAGCAUCCAGCAGAAUGCUUUCAUUAAGGGGAGACACAUUGUGGAUGGCAUUCUAUCCUUGCAUGAGGUACUGCACUAUACUCAUAUAAAAAAGGAUGUGGGAGUAAUAUUUAAGAUUGACUUUGAGAAAGCUUAUGACAAAGUCAACUGGGAGUUCCUACUGGAUUGUCAUGUUAAACGGGGUUUUAACUCAAAAUGGUGCGGGUGGGUGUCUCAAAUCCUUAGGAAUGGCACGGUUAGUGUUAAGAUCAAUGAUGAGAUAGGACCCUAUAUCCAGAGCGCUAAGGGGGUGAGACAAGGUGACCCACAUUCUCCGUUCCUUUUUAAUCUUGCG